rnacentral:rRNA from 1 species
GGACCUUCGGGCCUCUUGCCAUCAGAUGUGCCCAGAUGGGAUUAGCUUGUUGGUGAGGUAACGGCUCACCAAGGCGACGAUCCCUAGCUGGUCUGAGAGGAUGACCAGCCACACUGGAACUGAGACACGGUCCAGACUCCUACGGGAGGCAGCAGUGGGGAAUAUUGCACAAUGGGCGCAAGCCUGAUGCAGCCAUGCCGCGUGUAUGAAGAAGGCCUUCGGGUUGUAAAGUACUUUCAGCGGGGAGGAAGGUGUUGUGGUUAAUAACCACAGCAAUUGACGUUACCCGCAGAAGAAGCACCGGCUAACUCCGUGCCAGCAGCCGCGGUAAUACGGAGGGUGCAAGCGUUAAUCGGAAUUACUGGGCGUAAAGCGCACGCAGGCGGUCUGUCAAGUCGGAUGUGAAAUCCCCGGGCUCAACCUGGGAACUGCAUUCGAAACUGGCAGGC